rnacentral:lncRNA from 1 species
ACUUUCAGCUCAGACACAAGACAGGUGAAUGCCUUCAUCAUGACUGCCAGAGAGGGAGGAGGCCAACCUGGCACCACCAUGGAGGUCCUCAAAUCUACCACCCUGGCAGAGGCGAGCUGUGAGAUGGCCCUGGCUUUUGUGGGACCACCUUCUGAAGGUCAUCUGGAACUGGAUGAGAAGUGCUCAAGGAUAUAAGGUUAGGAGCAGUUUCUCCAAGAAACUCCCUCAUAAAACCACAGGAAGAUGGUGUUUGAGCUAGUUUUGAUGGAGACACUUAAGCUCUUGAGAAACUGGAUUAUUUCCUGGAAGGGGAAACAGGACCACUGCAGAGAGGCCUGAGUGAAUUUCACUCCCUGGCUCCAGCCUCAUCUGCUGCUGCAGGUUGACCUGGAGCCUGGAGUCCUUCUGUGGGGCUUACAGUGCAGCCAGCACUGCCCGAAGCUGUAGACACUUAGGGAAGGGGUGAGUACUACCAAGGUGAGGACUACUUAGGCAGCCUUGUGUUGUGAGUAGACUAAGCAGCAGAAAUGCUACAGAGUGGGCCAGGCCCAGGGGUGAAGAAGCAACAAAUCAGUGGAAUGUUUGCAAUGUUUUGGUCUUAGGAAUUAUACCAGGCCUCAAAGUCACAAAGCCUCUCUGUGGUCGAACGCCAGCCAGCCCUCACACAGGCAUAUGGUGGUGUGGGGAGAUGCUGGGAUCCAUGUGGCAAGCUCCUGACCACACAUCAACAGAGGGGUCAAAGACCCUCUGUGUCAGACUUGAGGAACUUGUAGAGAGUCAUAAGCUGGGUAAAUACAAUUUUGAAAAUCAGGCCUAGGGGAGUGUUUAUAGCAAAAUAGCAAGAAGAAAAAUUUAGGCUUCACCAGCAACCGGGAAGGCUCCUAGAUUCUCCUUGACUGUGGAGGAAAAGGUUGAAAGGAAGACCAAGAUGAGAAACAGCCUUAAAAAGGUGAAGUAAUUUGACCAAGGUAUAGGCAAAACAGUGGAGCCAAUAUUUGAACACGAGUCUGUCUAAAGGUAAGCCCCUGGCUUUCACCCUUCACUCUUUUACCUCCCGUAUGUCCUAAAGCAUUGCCCCUUUAUUUCCUACAUGAGCUGAGCACCUGGAAUUUCAUACCUCAGUGCUACUUUAGCCCCUGGUAUUAUCACCAACACAGCAUCUACAAGAUAGUUCUAUGGACUUGUCACAGAGUUCUGCAAAACAAAUCUCUUUUGGUCAAUAAGUUUUAAACAUAAAGUUUUAAAUUAGAAAAAAUAAAUGUUUUGAGCCUCCACAGGGAUUCCAAUUGUUCCCUAAGGUUGUAUUGACUGCUCAAAGGAACCUGUUACAAUAUUUCCAAAAUAUCACAGAAGAGAUUACAAUAAAAAGCUACAGUAGUACUUACCAGCUUUUCUUGUUGACAGUGGCCGUAUAUGAAAAGCAGGUUCCCCUGAUCUGCCUGGGCAGUUUCAUCCCUGCAGAGCUGGGAUGAAUGACAAAUUCAAAACCUCUCUUUACACGUGGAUUUGAACAAGAAAUCUCCAGGAAGCAGGUUUGAAGAGAUGGGAUCCAGACACCUCCUAAGCCUCUUGUUUUCAAAUUUGUCUGCAUGUUGGAAUCACCUGGCCAUCUUUUUAAAACUGCUGAUGCCUGUAUGUGCCCCCUCCUCCCAAGAUUCUGAUUUCAUUGGCUCAGGGUGAAGCCUCAGCAUCAUAAUUUUUUUUUUUUAAUAGAGUCUUGCCCUGUUGCCCAGGCUGGAGUGCAGUGGUGCAAUCUCGGCUCACUGCAACCUCUGCCUCCCAGGUUCAGGCAAUUCUCAUGCCCCAGCCUCCUGAGUAGCUGGAAAUGCAGGUGCACACCACCACACCCAGCUAAUUUUUUGUAUUUUUAGUGGAGAUAGGGUUUCACCAUGUUGACCAGGCUGAUCUCGAACUCCUGAGCUCAGGCAAUCCACCUGCCUCAGACUCCCAAAGUGCUGAGAUUACAGGCGUAGCCACCACACCUGGCCAGCAUCAUGAGUUUUAAAGGCUUCCCAGGUGAGUCUGAUAUGUGGCAAAGUCUGAGAACCACCAACCUAGGCAAUCUAAUCAGAAAAGAUUUCCACAGAUGUACUGAUGAUAUUAACUAUUGGUACUUGGGGUACGUUUUAAUUAAGUUAUAGCUAGGAAUGAUAAUGGCUAAUGUGAAUCACUAUGAAAGAUAUUUUUUAAACAAAGACUAUAGACUGAAAAAUAAAAAGAUAUGCAAAUUAUGCAAAAGCAAACACAAAACAAUGUUAUAGUGUGUGUGUAUGUGUGCGUGUGCACAUGUGCACCUGACUGUAACUGCACACUAUAAGCACUCUGAGAUUGGGCUGGUUGUCAAUGAAGACUUCAGCAUUACAUGUAAGAGAAUAUAUUGAUGUGUUACUUUGUAAUUAUAAAUAAAGUAGAUUUUAUAAUUCAUUGUUUUGGGUUUGUUUCUAAAAGAGAUUAUUCCUUUUGGGCCAUAGCCUCCAGGUGGAGAAAGGAGACUGCACUAAGAAUGGGCCGAGUCAUCAGACAGCUGAAGAUAAUAUAGGAAAAUGGAAAUAAACAAGGAGUAACUUAAUUUUAUCCCAGACUUUGGCAUACGCCCAAAACAAGAAGUCAUUCUCUCUCCUAAAAGAAGGGGCACUAUUUGUACCUUUAGAGACUGUCUUGUUCUGAAUAAUUUUUCCCAUCUGUUUUGUGGGAGAGAUACAAGCUGAUUUUUCCCCCAACCAUCAUGGAGAUUUUAUUUUAAUUCAGGCACAAUUGAAGUGACUAAACAAAGUGCAGGAAAACUUCUUGAGGUUGCAAGAGUGAGCAAAAAUAUGGCAAAGGGACCUUAAUAUAUAUACAGGUAAGAUCAUAAAUUAUAAGGAAGUUUUCUAAAAUGAUUGCACAGAAUGAUGGGUUCUGGGAUAUUCGUUAUUGCCAAGAAAGAGUACCUUGAAGACAUUGUAGACUACAGAACUGGAAGUGGCCCAAAGAUGCAUAAGAAAAAUAAUAAUAAUAACAAAAGUCACUUAUUGAGUGGUUAUAAUAUUCCAGCUUACCAUUUUAAGCACCUUGCUUUAAUUAUUUUAUUUUAUCCUUAUAAGGCAAUAUACUAUGAUCAGCCUGAUUUUACAAAUGAAUAUGAGAUUAAAUAAUUUAUCCAAGGUCACAUGUCUCAUAAGAGACAGUGCGGUGCCCUAUCAAGGCACUUAACCUCUGGGCUAACCACUGCUCUUAGCAGUAAGGGUGAUGUUUCCCCAAGUAGACACUAGAAACAACAGGCAUGAUACCAGCAACAAUGGCAAAAAGAUUCCAUGGUCAGAUUUACAGGGUAAAACUCUUACUAAGGACAUGUCUGUAAUAUGCUAAUGUAAAUUAAGAAAAUAAAGGAGAUGGCGAUCACAUGAUUUGACUUUAGAGUUUUAUUUUUACAGAUGAAAGUGUGAAGUAUGCUGUGGAAAAUGCUGUUUCAGGUUGGUUUCCUUAUGGAGACGAUAAAAUGAAUUUUCUGGGAGGGGUAAUGAUUGAGAGGAUCUGGUGGUGAUGGACCUGCAUGACCCUAAAGAGACUCAGCUGGAGGGAGGUCUGAGGCUGAAUUUGGGGAGCAUGAGUGGCUGACAAAGAAAGACAGCACAGAAAUAGGGAACAGAGAGGAGGCCAAACUGGAAAAAUCAAAGCAGAACUGUGACCAACACAAGGAAGUGGCUCAGCAGUCAGCAGAUGGGAUGUAAGUAGAUACAAGGAGGGAAUUAAGCACUAAGGCAGAACUGAGUUUCUUGAACAAUGACAAAAGGUGGGGCAGGGGCAUCAGGAACAGGUUCAAAGUUUACACAUAAAAAUUGGGCUCAGAGUCAGGACUAAUAAGAGGCAAGCUUGGCAUCUCGGAGUUCCAGAAAGAAAGGAAGUACUAAAAGCAAAAAACAAAAAAACCCUACAUUGACAGUGGUAUGUCAAAAGGCCACAGGAACCAACUGAAAGAGCUCCCAAUGGCCAAAGCUGGAACAAUUUGAGCAACAAAACAAAGUAGUACUGAAUUAUAACCCAAAGUAUAAAAUAAAUAUCCAUAUAUCCACACUGAUAUUAAUAAGUGAUUAGAUAAAUUAAUAAAUGGGGAGGACAGACAAAUCUCCCAUGCAGAAGAAUUCUGAAGAAUUUAUGUAGAUACUCCAUGCUCAAGGUAGGAGAACAUAAAUCCUCACUCCUU